AUUGAACGCUGGCGGCAGGCCUAACACAUGCAAGUCGAGCGAGCGGCGGACGGGUGAGUAAUGUAUGGGGAACUGCCCGAUAGAGGGGGAUUACUAAUGGAAACGGUAGCUAAUACCGCAUUCUAUCUGAUGUACCCAUAUGGGAUUAGAUAGUGGGUGUGGUAAUGGCUCACCUAGGCGACGAUCCCUAGCUGGUCUGAGAGGCUGAUCAGUCACACUGGAACUUAGACACGGUCCAGACUCCUACGGGAGGCAGCAGUGGGGAAUAUUGCACAAUGGGCGCAAGCCUGAUACAGCCAUGCCGCGUGUGUGAAGAAGGCCUUCGGGUUGUAAAGUACUUUCAGCGGGGAGGCGUUACCCGCAGAAGAAGCACCGGCUAACUCCGUGCCAGCAGCCGCGGUAAUUC
rnacentral:rRNA from 1 species